GGGGGUGCGCGUUGGCAUUUAACGCUUUCGGAUAUCUCGGCCUUGUCGAGAGUUAUUGGGCCUCUCUAGAAUUUAUUGGGCCGAAAUGGACUUAGCAAAGGCCCCAUCGUAUACGUCUUGAUCCUAUUUAGAAUAUUUGGGCUGUUUAUUCAUAGGCCGGAAUGGACUCUCUAAAUGGGCAUUCUUCAAAUUUUCAUGGGCCUGUAUAGAAAUUUGGGCUGCUUUAUACAUGGGCCCUGAUGGAUUUCAUCAACGGGCCAUCUUGUCUUGGGUCUAUUUUGAUUAUUUGGACUUUUGAAUCCAUAUUGGGCCUAUUUAAAUAUCUGGGCCGGCUUUUUCAUAGGCCCACUUCAUAUUCAUGUCCUACAAAAAAUAAUCGGGUCGGGGCGAGGGGGUCCCACCCGUUUCCGGACCCUUAAAAUCGACGGAAAUGGCUAAGGCUAAUGGAGUUGUGGAGCUUUCCCGCUCAGUUCCGAUGAACAGUUUGUCUCCGGCUCAUUCGUCGGCAUCGAUGACCGCCGUCGCUGGAGGCGGCGGAAGUAGCGGCGUCUCCGGCGGUUUGGAAGAUUUUCAUUUUCCGCCUGACAUCGCUUCUGUUCAGGAGCGGAAGGACGAAGCCAUGGGAGUGAGCACUGUCUGGAUCAGUAUUGUAGGCUGAUUUAAUGGCUGAACUAGACAGGCAUGUUAAGUCAUUGGAAGAUGACGACUGGAUAUUCGAAGGUCCUCGUUCACGUAUCAAUCUUAUAUCCAGAAGAGGUGGGUAUCUGCAGAAACAAGCUGAGGCUGCAAAGAACACAGGAUUGGCUCAGCUGUCUAAAUGAGAAUCUGAAGGUGUUUUACAACCAAAUUGUCCACAGAACUUUCCAGAUUCAGUUCUUUCCUUAUAGAAAACCUUAACUUUCUCCAUGUCUUCUUCAGCUUUUAUGAUAUCUGAAUUACUGUUUGAUUGGUUUUGCCAUUUGAAAAACAUCUAGAAUUCCAUUUGUUUUGUCUAUCCAUUGGUUAGGACAGAGGUCCAGAUCAAUGAUUGAUAGUAUCAGUGAUUAGAGUUGCAAACCCUUUGAAUAGUAGGAUUCGCCCAACAAAAUAUAGAGAAAGAUCAAUGAUUUGUUCAA